rnacentral:rRNA from 1 species
AACCGGUAAGGUUUUGGAACUCCCGUGGGCUCGAGGAACGAACGGCUGGCGGCGUGCUUAACACAUGCAAGUCGAACGAUGAAGCUGGAGCUUGCUCCGGUGGAUUAGUGGCGAACGGGUGAGUAACACGUGAGCAAUCUGCCCUUGACUCUGGGAUAACUGCGGGAAACUGUAGCUAAUACCGGAUACGACACCUUGGGGCAUCCCAGGGUGUGGAAAGAAUUUCGGUCAAGGAUGAGCUCGCGGCCUAUCAGCUAGUUGGUGAGGUAAUGGCUCACCAAGGCGACGACGGGUAGCCGGCCUGAGAGGGUGACCGGCCACACUGGAACUGAGACACGGUCCAGACUCCUACGGGAGGCAGCAGUGGGGAAUAUUGCACAAUGGGCGAAAGCCUGAUGCAGCAACGCCGCGUGAGGGAUGAAGGCCUUCGGGUUGUAAACCUUCUUUUAGCAGGGAAGAAGCGAAAGUGACGGUACCUGCAGAAAAAGCACCGGCUAACUACGUG